UUCUGUUUUCAUACAUCCUUCUGAAAUCAGUUGGACCUCUAAUUUUUACACUUUACCCUUUUAAAGCUCCUGUGUGCUUUUUGGGAGGACUUUCUCAUUGAAAUCAUUGGUAUCUUUCAGCUUGUUUUGUGAGCAGAAGGUUGUAGCUCAAAAUUUGGCAGUGCCUGUGGAAGAAAACACAUUCUCAGAAGAUAAUGAGGAGCCCAGAAAACCAAAGUUUUCCUCCCUGGGUCUGCAGCUGUGCUUCCAGUGAGUGGUCUGGAAAUAGCUGUUCCCUUUGUUUGCUGUCAGAGAUAAGCAUCAGUCUGUGCAGAGCUGAGGAGCUGGAGGCAUCCUGCAAAGAAACUGUGUGAGUUCCUGUUUUAAAAUCAGUUAC
rnacentral:lncRNA from 12 species